rnacentral:rRNA from 1 species
GCAGCAGGCGCGAAACCUUUACACUGCACGUCAGUGCGAUAAGGGGAUCCCAAGUGCGCAGGCAUAGAGCCUGCGCUUUUCUGAACCGUAGGGAGGUUCAGGAACAAGUGCUGGGCAAGACCGGUGCCAGCCGCCGUGGUAAUACCGGCAGCACGAGUGAUGGCCGAUAUUAUUGGGCCUAAAGCGUCCGUAGCUGGCCUGUCAAGUCCGUCGGGAAAUCUACCAGCGCAACUGGUAGGCGUCCGGCAGAAACUGGCAGGCUUGGGACCGGAAGGCUCGAGGGGUACGUCCGGGGUAGGAGUGAAAUCCCGUAAUCCUGGACGGACCGCCGAUGGCGAAAGCACCUCGAGAAGACGGAUCCGACAGUGAGGGACGAAAGCUAGGGUCUCGAACCGGAUUAGAUACCCGGGUAGUCCUAGCCGUAAACGAUGCCUGUUAGGUGUGGCUCCCACUACGAGUGGGUGCUGUGCCGUAGGGAAGCCGCUAAACAGGCCGCCUGGGAAGUACGUCCGCAAGGAUGAAACUUAAAGGAAUUGGCGGGGGAGCACUACAACCGGAGGAGCCUGCGGUUUAAUUGGAUUCAACGCCGG